rnacentral:lncRNA from 10 species
UAGCCAUUCCCACUUUUCUUAGAUUGAUGUUUGGUUUUUCUUUAUCUUUCAUUUUCAGAAGCUUGAAUAUUAUGUGGUUUGGUCUAUAUUCCUUUGGAUUUUUCCAGUUUGGGAUUUGCUCAGGCUCCUGAAUCUAUAGCUUUCUGCCUUUUGCCAAACUGGUAACUUUUCAGACAUUAUUUAUUUCAAUACUUUUCAGUCUCUCCCCAUCUUUUGUGAUAACACAAAUACUAGAUCUUUUGUUAUAGUCCCUCAAUUCCCCAAGGCUGUAUUGGCCUCCUAGCAUGUUAAUAGAUAUAACUCACAUAAAAAAUUAUUGAGGUCUUCAAUAAUUUUUUUUUUGAGACAGGGACUCUCUCUGUUGCCCAGGCUGGAGUGCAGUGGCACAAUCACGGCUCACUGGAGGCCUCAAUUGCCUGGGCUCAAGUGAUUCCCUCAUCUUAGCCUCCCAAGUAGCUGGGACCACAGACGUGUGCCACCAGGCUGGGUUAUUAUUUUUAGAUACGAGGUCUCGUUAUGUUGGCCAGACUGGUCUCAAAUUCCUGGGCUCAAGCAAUCCUCUCGCCAUGUCCUCCCAAAGUUCUGGGAUUACAGGCGUGAGCUACCACACCUGGCCAGCCCUCAAUAAUUUUUAAGAGUGAAAAAAGUCUCCUGAAGCCAAAAAGUUUGAGGACCUGUGAGGUACAAAAAAACUAAUAUUAAAGAAAGUUCUUACUUCCUCUCCCAAGACUUCCAAGUGUGGUUUGUGAGCACGCUCUCUAGUUCCUUGUGCCAAUUCAGGUGGUAUCCCUUGCGGUGUCGGAGGAAUAUGGACAUAUUCUUGGUUGUCAUCCAUAACAGGAAUUCCAUACAAUAUUCUACAAUGUGAUAAGAACAAUAAGUUUGCUUUUUAAGUAAUUGACAAAGUAUAAGGUGUUUGCCCUCAUUUCAUAACUCCACUGAAAUAAACACAUGGACAUUUGACAUCUGCACUAAACAGAGAUUGUGUAGAAGUCAGAUAAUCCAAAAUGAGAAAUAAUCCAAAAAUGCUAAUAUCUGGUUCUUAAUACAUUUUAGUAGUAAUAUUUAUGAUGGUUUUGUUUCAUUAUACUGGAAUAAUAAAUUCACCCUAUGAAAGUCUAGUUGCAAAAGAGGUUAAAAAAAAAAAAACUUCUUUACCUUCUGAUCUCUCACCUACUCCCCAUUCCAAGCUCACACAUACACACAAAGUUUCAUUUCUUGGGUGGGGCAAAGCAUCAGCCUAAGCAGAAGUACCUUCUCACAUUAUGGUUCUCCCUUCUUGCUGAGAUGAACAGAAAACUGUGUAGGCAUCAAGUCUUUCUUCUAGGCUACAAGCUACAUAUACAUGAGAAUAUAUAUGGAACAAAACUUAUCAAUAAAAGAUUAAGCUAAACAGAUGAGAUAAAUCAAAAUUUGAAAGUAAAUGUGUCAUUAAUUACUGACCUACAGACUGGCUUAAAAAUACAUUAACUUUUGUAUUAUAACACUUAACUGUAAAAUAAAUAUAAAAUGAACAUAAAGACAAAAUAUCUAAGAAUAUAUACACAGUCAUGUGCCACAUACAUAAUAUAGAUAUAUCAAUUUCACAUUGAAGCAUUUAAAGCUACUGUUCCCUCUAACUUAUUGAUAUACUAUUAUAGGAAGAAACACAUUACGAGUUACCAAAUGUGAAAACUAAGCAUACAAAAACCCAACUGAUUUCAGUUGUUUAAUAAUAUACUGAAAUCCUCAAAUCCCAUGAUACCUGCUGUUAAGAAGUAGACCCACUCAGAGGCAGGCUGAAGAAGAUAUGGCUUUGUCAGAGUAGAGUCAUGAAUAAAAGCUUCCUAUCUUACCUACUAAAAUACCUGAAUUCAAAGAGAGGUUAAAACUCUACUCCCAGCAAGGUGAAUACCACUGCCACUUAACACCCAUUCCAUCCUCCUUCUAAUGUGCUUUCCUGAACUGCCAAGGAUGGAGAGGUAAAACUCUCUUGGCCAGGCAUGGUGGUUCAUGCCUGUAAUCCCAGCACUUUGGGAGGCUGAGGCAGGCAGAUCACUUGAGGCCAGGAGUUCAAGACCAGCCUAGCCAACAUAGCAAAACCUCGUCUCUACUAAAAUACAAAAGUUAGCUGGGUGUAGUGGCACACACCUGUAGUCCCAGCUACUCAGGAGGCUGAGGCACAGUUGUUUUAACUCGGGGUGGAGGUUCCAGAAGCCAAUGUUCUAGAUAUUAUUUGGAAUCCACCAACCAAAUGCAAUUAGAAGGCAGAAGGUUCUAAUGUUUCUGUUGGCAAGUACAGUCAUGACAAUGUUGAGUUCUUCUGUAGCAGUGUUCCAGUUAUGACUUUGUGAGUUGUGUUUUUUACUGGUUUGUUUUUUGCCAGUGAGCAUGUCAAACAGACACAGUGUGGCUCCAGAGUCCAAAGCUGUGACAGUAAAAGCUACUUAAUCCCUGAAUCUCAGUUAAGGUGGUAUGUUGCCAGUGCUGGCUUCCAGAUUUGCCGCCUUCCUGUGUCAGGAACAGCAGCACCCUAGGCAGCCAGUUAAACAUGCUCUGUGAAUCAUCCCUGGGAGAUCUCCCUACCUAAUGCCCCAUUUUUCUAACCCUCUCAUUGAUUUUAAAACACCAAAUUCCCAUUACUAAGUCCCUUUUUGCUUAAAAUAGCUAAAGCUGUGAUACAGUUUGGCUGUGUCCCCACCCAAAUCUCAUCUUGAAUUGUAGUUCCCAUAAUGCCCAUGUGUUGUGGGAGGGACCCGGUGGGAGGUAAUUGAAUUACGGGAGUGGUUACCCCAUAGUGCUGUUCUCGUGAUGUGAGUGAUUUAUCACAAGAGCUGAUGGUUUCAUAAGGGGCUUUUCCCCCUUUUGUCCAUCAUUUCUCCUUGCUGCCACCAUGUGAAGAAGGACAUGUUUGCUUCUCCUUCCACCAUGAUUGUAAGUUUCCUGAGGCCUCAUCAGCCCUGCAGAACUGUGAGUCAAUUAAGCCUCCUUCUUUUAUAAAUUACCCAGUCUUGGGUCUGUCUUGAUUAGCAGCAUAUGAACAGACAAAUACAAGAUGUUUCUGUUUUCCGAAGCUGAAUUCCAGUGUAUCCAGGAAAACAAAAGAACAGGGGAAGGUCUAGGGACUAAGAAAAUGA